CUGGGCUCAGACUCCCUGGGCUCAGUCUCCCUUGCACUGGGCUUGAUCUCCCUGUACUCGAUCUCCCCUGCGCUGGACUCCCUCGCACCGGGCUGUAUCUCUGCUGCGUUGCACCAAAGUGGACUCCGUCCACUACUGUCGGUAGAAAGAAACGUUCAGACCCGCUAGAAGAUGCUGAUCUCUCCAAAGAAGCUUUAUCACCAGAACCUUCCCUUUCUCCCCUGAUGAGAUUAACCAAUCUCUUCUUAAAAGAAUCCCUACUUCAGAGUUAGCAAAAUGAGGACUCAAGGCGUGCUGUGCAGCUGGAUCACCUGAUUCAAGGAAAAUCUUGCCUGAGGCUGAACGAUAAAGCAUGUGAGUUACAUUUCUAAAUUAGACUCGUUCCAGAGGCCGCUCUAAAAGUGGCCACUAGGUGGUGAGAUGAGGACUUUGCUUUGACUUCAGGUAAUUGCUUUUGGCUGUCAUGAUCACCGAGAUCGAGCACAUCACCGGGGAGAGAUUGUGCCCAAUAUGGGAGAGAGAUUGACCCCUAUGUUGUACAGAAAAUGAACUUAUUGCAGUGGAGAGAUCAAGCCGUGUGUGGGAUAGAGAUCAAGCCUAGUGGAGGAGAGAUAUUGAACCCUAUGUGGGAGAGAAAUUGAGCCCAGUGUAGGAGCAAGAUUGAGCCUGGUGCAGGGGAGAGAUCCAGCCCAGGGUGGGAAAGAGAUCGAGCCCAGUUGGGAGACAGAGCGAGAACUCCUGGGGAGAACUCAGCGUGGAGCGGUUGCAAGCUCAUGGCCAAAGAAGGACUUUAAUUAGGAACUUUUAACUUUAUUUCUUAUUUAUUACUUUAUACCGAGAUGAAUUGUAAUGCUGAACUUACAACUUAUUUCUUUUUUCCACUUUUUACUGACAAUUUUAUACCUAGAUACCUUGCACGUAAGAUGGUGCUACGAAUGGUAAUGUUAUAAACUUUUCAGUGCACUCCUGUACCCCUACACUUGAGUACAUGUGACUAUAAAACCUCAUUCUAAACACGCAAGUCAAUUGAAUGCUCAAACUGUUUACAAAACGUGUUUUCCUUCCUCAGCCUUUUAAUUUCCCGUUGUCUGUAAUAUCUCGUCAUUAUGUACAAGCGGAACACCACCAGGAAGUGAAUAUACAUUGGGGACACACGUCAACCAGCUGCGUCAUGAUUUUAGAAAGAAUUGAAGUAAAGUCUUGGCUGUUAUUGGAUGAACAUUAUUUUUUAACCACCAAACUCUAACUUAUUUCCUUCAUUUUAAAGAGUCUUAUAUAUCUGAUCCAGGUUAUGCUCCUGUUCUGAUAUUUACACAAUGUUCCAGUGCACUCACAGCCAAACCUUAUGCACUUCCUCCCAACAACUAAAUCCGAAUGCUGUUAACAGCAAGAUAAAGCACAACCUCUGCCAAUGAAGAAUCCUAAUACAAGACACAGGAGUAUGCAAUCUAUUGAAUUACUGUUGACUAUGAUGUACUUCAGCUACUGCAAGUACAAAUCAGAGAUUCUGCCUGGAGGUUUGUCACCCAUCAUUUGCAGCAGCUAAAUUUUUUAGCAGUAUACUUUGAGUUUGUUUGAGGGGACGAAAUAACAGUGUGGAUUCAAAAUGUUCACUCUGCUUUCUUCGCACGGAUGCUGCCAGACCUGUUGAGUUUUGUUAGCAAUUUCUGUUGUUGUUUUAGGAGAGUAGUAGGAUUCAGUCGGGACCAUAAAUGUAGUCUAUGUGUGGACCUGGAAGAUAUGGAAUACUGUCCUCAAUGAAUACUUUAUGUAGGUCUUCACCAUAGUAAAGGAUGACACAUCAAGGUGGAGGACUAUGAAAUAUUCUAAGAAAUUAACAUCUGUAGAGAAGAGGUACAGAUAGGUCUCACAGCCUUAAAAAUGGAUAUAUCUACAGGCCCCAUUGAGGGUGGUAAAGGCGGAGAUAUCAACAGCUUUGGCAACAAUUUUCAAAUCUUCUCUGGGCACAGGAGAGGUGACAGAGAACUGAAGGACUGCUAACGUUGUUCCAUUAUUAAAACCAGGAGGAAGGGAUAGACGAGACAAUUGCAGGCUAACCACUCUAACAUCGAUGUUGGGGAAGACAUCAAAAAGAAUAAUGAGGGACAUAACAUACCUGUACUUGGAGAGACAUGGAUUAUUGUGGUUGGUUGGCUCGCUGAGCUGGUUUGUUUUUUUUGUGGGUUUUCAUUACCCUGCUGGGUAACAUCAUCAGUGCAGCCUCUGAUGAAGCGCUGUUGUGUUUUCCCGCCUGGUAUUUAAACUCUGGGGCCAUUGAGCUGGAUUACCUCAAUUCAGGUUUCUCUUUGCCGUGGUGUAUAUAUAGAGUUUAGCUCUAUGUGUUUGUUGAUGCCCUUCUUAGUUUAGAGCCAGGCCUCUAGGAAUUCCCGUGCUUGUCUCUGCUCGGCCUGUCCCAAGAUCAGGACAACAGCGCUUCAUCAGAGGCUGUACUAAUGGUAUUUUUGGAUAAUGGUGAUACAGGGUAAUGAAAUGUUACGGAACAACGAACCACCUCGGUGUGUGAACCGGCCACUACAUCCACAACCUGAGCUACAAAUCUACUGUAAAACCUUAGAGGCAUGGAUUAAUUAAGGACAGUCAGCAUGGAUUUGUUAAGGGAAGGUCAUGGAUGACCAAUUCAAUUAAUUUUUUUGAAGAGGCCACCAGGACUUUUGAUGAGGCUAAUGUGCAAUUGCUGUAGUCUACGUAGAUCCAAACUUGGCCGGGAGGCAGAAAACAGACGAUGAUGGUUGAGGGAUGGUUCUGUGACUGGAAUUAUGUUUCCAGUGGGGUUUUGCAGGGCUCAGUGUCGGUGCCCUUGCUGUUUGUGAUAUACGCUAACGAUUUGGACUUAAACGUGAAGAACACGAUCAACAGACUUGUGGAUGUCACAAAUAAGUGGUAAGAUGAUAAAUAAUGAGGAAAAACUGCAGGAGCACAUCAAUAGACUGAUUAGACAGCAGAGCACCGGCAAAUGGAAUUUAAUCCUGAAAUAUGUGAGGUAACACAUUUGGGAAGAAAAGGCAAAGGAUUACACUGUGAAUGGUAGGAUUCAAAAUAUAAUAAAGAUCCACAGACCUUUGAAAGUAGCGGGGCAGUUAGGUAAGUGUUUAAGAAAGCAUAUGUGAUUCUUGUCUUUGUUCGCUGAGCUAGAGAAUACAAGUGUAAGGAAAUUCUGUUGACACAGUAUAAAAUGCUAGUUAUUCAACUCAAUGCUUGCUCCAAAGGAACUCCAUGUCGAACACCACACAUCAACAUCUCACGGCAUAGUCCAUGGGCACUACACCUAUCCCAUGUCUACAGAGAUUGGCAUCUAAUAUGUACCAGUUUCUAAGAACCCUCAUGACACAUCUCCAUUUACAAUAUACUCCUUCAAUUCAAUGCUGCAGUUAGGGUGAGACCAGCAAGUAUCAUUGUAAUCCUGUAGCAAGGAUUAGGGAUAUGCUCAGGGACAUGCACCCAGCUCCUGGGAUAGACCAGCAUCAAUCUUUGGGCUCUUUGCUUGUUGUCACGGACCUCACUCUGAGACUGACCUGAAUGGUCACAUUAUUCCUGAGUUACCUUUCAUUGGCUUUUAUCACUUUACCCCAUCAGCCAGAGACAUCUAUCAGGCUCAUAUCGCUUCUGUCUUUCCUUGGAAUUUAGGAUGGACACAUAGGAAGAAAACCAGUCAUGAUUGUCAACAGGCCAACGUCAAGAUAAGCAGAGUAGAUUCCGAUGAGGAGCUCCUGACGCAGUAAGUCAUGGGCAGCCCCGAUACCAAUCCGGGGGCUUCAAAACGGACAUCACUUGACACAGAGUCAGGAUGCUGUCUAUGUAAGGGGUCAAGAGCUGAAUGUUGGAUAUGCCACCAUCCACCCGAAGUCUUUCUGCCUUAUAGUGGCUGCUUUCUUCCUGGACUGUGGGGGACAUGCCCAGCAGCACCUUCAUGUCCAUGCCCACAAAGUGAUGCCCUUUAUUCCAUAUCAGGGGCUAAUUUCAGGAGGCGUGCAGAUUAGCUCCUGACUGACAAUGUUCAUCUGGGUACACAACAGGCUUUUAAAGAUGGCACAGGCACUAGGGAAUGCAGUGAAUUCCAGGAUGACUGCUGAGUAGCAAUUCAUUCUGAAAAUGCUAUGUGGCAAAAUAGUGCUGGAACCAGAUAUGACGGGGUCAAGGUUAAUGAGAUAGGUUUGGUAGGAUGUGGUGACAGAACUCAUUAGAACUAAUAGUGAAACCCUUCCAAAAACUGUGCAAUUGGAACUCAAUGUCUCAGACAUCAAUGGAAGAUAUUCCACUCUCAUAUCAGUGAACGUUAACAGCCCCUGUUUCAUAGAUACUGGAUACAGGAGAUGGGAGGACAGGCUAUUUCCAGAACCUUACACACUUGACUCCCAGUUCUAUGUGAUUUGACGUUACCAUGUCAUAACUGCUUAAACAUGUGCUCAGUUGCAAUAAUUCCUCCGCAUACCUGAACUUGGAAAUAGAUUUCUUCCUCUUCAGUUGUCAUUGGAUCAAUUGCUAGAACAGCCUUCCUAACUAUGGAUAAAUAAACUACCAUCUUCUUAAAAACAGGCAGGGAGAGACUUUGUCUUUGUUGCAAUUGUACCAGCCUCCAUCUCUUCCUCUGGCAGCUCAUUCCAUACAUGUGCACCCUCAGCAUAAAAUGUUACUCCAUAGGUCCCUUUUAAAUCUUACCCUUUUCAUCUUAAAUCUGCAACCUCUAGUUUGGGAUUCCCCUACCUUCAGGAAAAGACCUUGUCUAUUCACCCUAUCGAUGCCCUUCAUGAUCUUAUAAGGUCACUCCUCAGCCUCCAUUGUGCCUGGGAUAAUAGCCCCAGUCUAAUCAGUCUCUCUCAGUACCUCACACUCCCCAAUCCUGGCCACAUCCUUGUAAAUCUUUUCUGAACCCUUUCAAGUUUAAUAACAUCCUUCCCAUAACAGGGAAACCAGGGUUUCAUCAUUCCAAGUUCCAUGAUAUAUUGUAACUUCUCUGAUAGAUCAUCUCAUGAAUUCAAGUAUCGCCAGCUCAUAUUGUAAAUCUUAGCAUCAGUGGAAUAAAACAUGCAUAAACGUUUGUUUCCUGAAAAUAUGAAAUAUUGUAACCAAUUUAUUUCAUGAGGAGUACUAUAGAUGAUUGGUGUUAAAUCACUGUAAACUCCCUACAAGGUAUUUCACUCAUAUAUUUUUUGUUUCAUUUUUGAUGAGGCAUCAGUUCAGCAAGAAAUAUUUUUAUUCAUAAAGGAAAUUGCUGGCAAUAUGUCUCUGGAAUUGAACAGUGUCUGGUGACUCAGCAAACUCCCAUAUGUAGGAGGAGUGACAGCAAAUAAGCACUACACUACUCUUUAAAUAAGUACCAGCUCAGCUGUCAACUAUCCUUCUUGAUCCUUCACUUGAAAUUAUAUAGUCUGGUUCUUACUUGAAAUGUGGCUACAGUAUCCUCUGAAAAAGCUGCAAAUAGAAUGGUUACAUUUCUGAGUGUGUGAAGAAGAGCAUGCUCUAUAUUUCCCUUUGUGCUGUUGAAUGUAGGCUAUUAGGUAACAUUUAUUUUACCAUGAAUCUGCCCUCCCUCUAUACACUACUUUCCAUUUAAUUUGUGACUGACAACUUUAAUUUUAAGUCAGCUUUUCCAAAAAUGAAAUCGUCGACAACAAGAUGUGCACAACACUGACAGUACUCCCCAUGGUGGUCACUGCUCAGAGACCAGCAAGACUGUUGGUUGGAGAUGUGUCAAUCUUUUGAAUAUUCUCAAUUCUGUUGCCUAGUUCUUACUCAGUCCUAAACACACUGUACAAAUUCCGAGCCUCGCAAAUUUCAGAUUGUUUUAUGCAAAAAAAAUCUGCUGUGAAGACCCCAAGUCAAAUGGCAAACUGACUGUAUUGCUCGAGUUACUAUUCAGACACAAAAUACUCUUGCGUUUAGCUAUUUCCCUUGUAGCUUCAUGACAGUUUAUUUGAACUCAAGAUGACACUAAAGCCUCUCUAAUUAUUUUAAAUAUUGUUUUGCCACAUAUUCCAAAUUCAUUCCCUGUCUACACAGGAAUUAUAUAUGUGUCAAAAAAAUUCUGUGCCACCUCAGUGUUGCAUAAUUUCUUUUAAUGAGCAGGUUUUAUUUGAACGUGCUGCCUCUCUUAUGGAAUUGUCCAUUCUAUCAUCAGUAAAGUGUGAUUAGAGAAGCAUUACAUGAACAAAUACAAAGACAGUCAUGUAUCAGGCUUUGAACUGAACUAUUUAGCAAUUAAGGAAAGACAAUGAGUUGCUGGGGAAAUGAAUAAAGAAGAUGUUAUUUUCAAAUUGUUUUUGUCGUGAUUGUAACGAGGUCAGCCAGGUUGACCUCAUAGAAUAUGAAUUCCCUGACUAGGGCAGUUAAUGUGGUCCAAUUAGGGAAACCUGGCUGGCAGAUAAAAAGAGGAGUGUCAGAGGUUUUGCUCACUCUGAGGGAGCUGGAUCAGUGUUAAGGACUCUCCAUGUAUAAAUAAAGGGUGAUUUGGUGGCCAGCCUCCCUUUGAGUUAUUUCAAUAGCAAUGUGAGAAAAGCAUGCUCCUGAAGAAAUUCACUUGCAGUAGUCAUCUUUGAGUUGGAAUAUGCACUUCUGUCAUCUUGUUGUGAUUUGGAAAGUUUGAUUUGUUUGUUCCUGCUAUCAAAGACUGGAUUCAAUAUGUGGAAAGAAUGUAUUUUUGUUUUCCAGGCAAAUGACAUUGGGGCAGAUGAAAAGCAAUGAGUAAUUCUCCUGACAACUUGUGGAUCUGCAGCUUUUUCAGUUAUUAGGAGCCUAUGUGUCCCUGAGGCACCAGAUACUAAAACCUUUCAAGAGUUGGUGGAUUUAGUUAAGGAAUAUGAUGGCCACAAGCCUCCUUUAAUUCUGACACACUGUCAGCUUUAUUCAAUUCAAGAACCAGGGGAAUCCAUAUCAGGAUUUUUGACUAUGUUAAGAUGACUGGCAGAAGCACAUGUCUUUAACCCUUAGAAGCUCAGAGACUGGUUGGUAUGUGGUAUUAAUGAUGUAACUAUGUAAAAUCACUGGUUAACUAAAGCUCAACUGGACUUCAAACAGGCACUAUAACUGGCUUAGAGAU